GUAUUUAUAGGCCCUAAGAGGAUUCAAAUUUGGGCUCCAAAAUUUGAAUUCUCUUAAGUUCCCGAGGCUGGCAACGGUCUAGCGGUGCCACCGCUCAAUCCGGCGGUGCCACCGCCUGGCUCUCGGCUGUUGGGCGGUGCCACCGCCCAAUCUGGCGGUUCCACCGCCUAGCUCUCGGGUGCUAGGCGGUGCCACCGCCUAGGCUUUUUC
rnacentral:lncRNA from 1 species